UACGGAGGGUGCGAGCGUUGUCCGGAAUUAUUGGGCGUAAAGCGCGCGUAGGCGGCUACUUAAGUCGGAUGUGAAAGCCCUUGGCUCAACUGAGGAAGUGCACCCGAAACUGAGUGGCUUGAGUACGAAAGAGGGUCGCGGAAUUCCCGGUGUAGAGGUGAAAUUCGUAGAUAUCGGGAGGAACACCGGUGGCGAAGGCGGCGACCUGGGUCGAUACUGACGCUGAUGCGCGAAAGCGUGGGGAGCAAACAGG
rnacentral:rRNA from 1 species